rnacentral:rRNA from 2 species
ACAUACGACCACAGGGUGUGGAAAAUAGGGCUUCCCGUCCGCUCAGCCGUACUCAAGCCACACGCCGGGAGGUUAGUAGUUGGGUGGGUGAC